UACAGAGGUGGCAAGCGUUGUUCGGAAUUACUGGGCGUAAAGGGCGCGUAGGCGGCCUUCUAAGUCAGACGUGAAAUCCCCCGGCUUAACCUGGGAACUGCGUCUGAUACUGGGGGGCUUGAGUGCAGGAGAGGGAUGCGGAAUUCCAGGUGUAGCGGUGAAAUGCGUAGAUAUCUGGAGGAACACCGGUGGCGAAGGCGGCAUCCUGGACCGACACUGACGCUGAGGCGCGAAAGCUAGGGUAGCAAAC
rnacentral:rRNA from 1 species